UACGUAGGCAGCAAGCGUUGUUCGGAAUUACUGGGCGUAAAGAGUGUGUAGGCGGUGUUCUAAGUCUGUCGUGAAAUCUCCCGGCUUAACUGGGAGGGUGCGGCGGAAACUGGAGUGCUAGAGGGUGGGAGAGGAAAGCGGAAUUCCUGGUGUAGCGGUGAAAUGCGUAGAUAUCAGGAGGAACACCUGCGGUGUAGACAGCUUUCUGGACCACUUCUGACGCUGAGACACGAAAGCGUGGGGAGCAAACAGG
rnacentral:rRNA from 1 species